GGCGCGGUGCAUGGGGCUAGAACUCAGGGCCCAGCAGGUCUGACAAUGCAGGUUUCCCCGCUCGCCUGUUGGGUUUUUGAAACGCCCUCAGCGGGGUUUUCCUCCUAAUUCUGGUUUGGAGGAGCCAUCUCUCUCCAUCCCGUCUGCCAGCGGGGUUUGCUUCACACACAGACGUGGGCAGAUGGCAUCGGGGACACAGGGAAACCUGACCUUAGAGGAAAUGGAAAAGUUGGAGAGACACUGAGCACUGAUACGAAAUAAUUCUCUUGCUGAAAUACACGAAAGGAGUCCCAGCAGCCAUAUUAGUAUUUCCACGUCCUGUGUCAGCCCCAAGUAGAGAGAACUUGGAAUGGGAGGGGAAAUGGCAGCCAUCAGGAAAUGAAAUGCUGGCCCAGAGAAUUCUAAGCAAGUCAAUCACCAGUCCAAAAGAGGGACACCAGAUCUUUCUUUCUUUCCUCAUGGGCACAGAGGAAAGGCCAUGUGAGGACAUAAGGAGGAGACAGCCAUCUAUAAGCCAAGAAGAAAGCCCUCACUAGAAACCAACUCUAAUGGCACCCUGAUCUUGGAUUUCUAGCCCCUGGACAAUGAGAAAAUAAAUGUCUGUUGUUUAA
rnacentral:lncRNA from 1 species